rnacentral:piRNA from 1 species
UGCCUAUGGUUCUGAUUGCUUCCUCU